ACACAUUCAAUGCCACCACGAUUUUCUAAUACUUCCCAGCGAUGCCGCCCUAUAAAAAACGCAAACAUGCUAGGUGUGCUCGCGGCACUGCAGGAUGGAAUUACGUAGCACGCUAGGCGUGUUCACCGGCACUGUUAAGAGCAGUGUUUGUGCUUUUGAAAGUUAAAUUAUGGCAGUUAGUAGAUUCCAAGGUAAGUAUUUAUCGUAAUUUGAUCAGUGAAUUUCAACCUUUGGUUACUUAUUUAUGAUUUUUUAGGGAAAACAAAAUAUGUGCAAGAAACAGUGGAAUAUGAUGAUGAUGCGACGCAAGCAGAUAGCCCACCCUCACAAAAACGCCCAAAAGUAGGAGAAUACAUCGCGAACGCAUCAAGCUCACCGAACUCAUCGCAAGAUAUAUUUACAAAACUACAAGAUGUACCUUACUCCCAAAAAUGGACAUAUUCGCAACAAAUGGAUGAAUAUGACAAAAAGGAUGUAAACACCAUGACUGACGGAAGACCAACAAUUACUAAAUAUAAAGAAAUUGGUACCAUGACUGAACCAGGGUUGACUUGUAACAACAAUACUAAUAUUGAAAUUCGAUGCAAUGAAUAUUUCGGAAGUGUUGUAGCAUGCGAGCUAGCAAAUUAUCACGGUCGCGUUCGUUACGAUAAAAUGAAAGCUAUCAUUGAUAUUUUUAAAGAAAAGUGAGAAAUUAGUUGCCUUGAUUGUUUAAAAGGUUUCUAUGAUUCUCUUGAGGAAAGAAAUUGAGUUCCUAAGGGUUGUGAUUUCAAUUGAAAUAAUAAUAGUGAUUUGAGAAAUCAACGUCUUUAUUAAAGCACUUAUUGUGUGUACAAUAUUAUAGUUACUACUUAUGUUAAAGAAAAAUGUUAAAAAAUCA